rnacentral:rRNA from 1 species
CCUACGGGGGGCUGCAGUGGGGAAUAUUGGACAAUGGGGGCAACCCUGAUCCAGCCAUGCCGCGUGUGUGAAGAAGGCCCUCGGGUUGUAAAGCACUUUCAGUGAGGAAGAACGCCUGGUGGUUAAUACCCAUCAGGAAAGACAUCACUCACAGAAGAAGCACCGGCUAACUCCGUGCCAGCAGCCGCGGUAAUACGGAGGGUGCGAGCGUUAAUCGGAAUUACUGGGCGUAAAGCGCGCGUAGGUGGCUUGAUAAGCCGGUUGUGAAAGCCCCGGGAUCAACCUGGGAACGGCAUCCGGAACUGUCAAGCUAGAGUGCAGGAGAGGAAGGUAGAAUUCCCGGUGUAGCGGUGAAAUGCGUAGAGAUCGGGAGGAAUACCAGUGGCGAAGGCGGCCUUCUGGACUGACACUGACACUGAGGUGCGAAAGCGUGGGUAGCAAACAGGAUUAGAUACCCUUGUAGUC